rnacentral:rRNA from 1 species
GAUGAACGCUAGCGACAGGCCUAACACAUGCAAGUCGAGGGGCAGCAUGGUAUCAGCUUGCUGAUACCGAUGGCGACCGGCGCACGGGUGAGUAACGCGUAUGUAAUCUGCCUGUAACAGAGGGAUAACCCGGAGAAAUCCGGCCUAAUACCUCAUAGCACAUAUUAUUCGCAUGAGUUUUAUGUUAAAGAGACUCGGUUACAGAUGAACAUGCGUUCCAUUAGCUGGUUGGCGGGUAACGCCACAAGGCAACGAUGGAUAGGGAUUCUGAGAGGAAGGUCCCCCACACUGGUACUGAGACACGGACCAGACUCCUACGGGAGCAGCAGUGAGGAAUAUUGGUCAAUGGGCGAGAGCCUGAACCNGCCAAGUCGCGUGGAGGAA